UUGCCGCUGCAAAAUGUUUUGCGUUUUAUGACGUUUCGCACUCCAGCGUAUAAUGCCUUUGGCUCAAUUGGAUCCUUCGGAGAAAAUCCUGGUUAACGGUUCGAGCGACAGCUAUGGUAGCAACUGCAACUGAUCCGUGUAUGGGGAAUUGAAAAUUCAUAUAGUUCCAAAAUAGCAUUCAAGUCUUCUUAAGUGCGAUCUUGGAAUCUUCAUCAUCGGUUUACCUCGAUUAAUAUUCAUACCUGUGUACGAAGGUGAUUCUUUAAGGUUACUCCACAUGAGAGAUCGGCGACCGUCUAAAUGCUCAUCGCGCCCUCGAUAAUUGAGCCAGCGCAAUAAAUUGUUCUUAAAAAUUCGUAAGGAUAUGCAAUUUCUGUACGGUUACUCAUUUGGUUACUGAUUAAAAGCUUCAUUUUUUACGUAUAAUCACGUUUUAACUUUUGUAUUCGAUAUAUGAAGCUACAAGCGAUCGUCAUGUCAACUUGAAGAAGAAUAGCCGGUCGGUGACAAAGAAAUUUUUAAUGGCCCCAAAAAAGUCAAAUAAAAAGGAAAU